rnacentral:rRNA from 1 species
GAUNCUUACGACNAGCCCGCUGUUUGNUUCANAUGGUUAUUCGUUCUAUGGUCUCAGCACUGAGACCGCUCGGUCGUUNACAGCCUAACACAUGCAAGUCGAACGGCAGCACAGAGGAGCUUGCUCCUUGGGUGGCGAGUGGCGGACGGGUGAGGAAUACAUCGGAAUCUACUCUGUCGUGGGGGAUAACGUAGGGAAACUUACGCUAAUACCGCAUACGACCUACGGGUGAAAGCAGGGGAUCUUCGGACCUUGCGCGAUUGAAUGAGCCGAUGUCGGAUUAGCUAGUUGGCGGGGUAAAGGCCCACCAAGGCGACGAUCCGUAGCUGGUCUGAGAGGAUGAUCAGCCACACUGGAACUGAGACACGGUCCAGACUCCUACGGGAGGCAGCAGUGGGGAAUAUUGGACAAUGGGCGCAAGCCUGAUCCAGCCAUACCGCGUGGGUGAAGAAGGCCUUCGGGUUGUAAAGCCCUUUUGUUGGGAAAGAAAUCCAGCUUGGCUAAUACCCGGGU